rnacentral:tRNA from 1 species
GCCGGUAUAGCUCAGUCGGUAGAGCAACUGAUUCGUAAUCAGUAGGUCGGAGGUUCGAUUCCUCUUGCCGGCACCA